rnacentral:lncRNA from 1 species
AAAAUGUGACCUACCUCAUUUUUGGGGUGGAAAUUAGGAUCCUACCACUCUCAUCUUACAAGUAGAAUUUGUAAUGAAUGCAUGAUAGCAUUAUUUGGGAUCGACCUACUUUACUUAAUUCCAGGUAGCAAAUAAUGUGAGGGAGUCCUACAUAUAGUACAGCAGCUAGCGCUGCUACCUGAGAUUUAUCAACCUUUCUUUUCUUGUGCAAGAGAGAGGUGAGCGUAACAUAUAUGGAAAUAUAGAUAAUUUAUUAAUGAUGUCACUUGGCUCUUGCCCUAUUGCAGGCUGGGGAGGCAUUGGCUCUCGUCUCCCUUGAGUGGACAUCAGUGGAGCUCUAGUACUAGCAUAGAGGUCAAAGUCUCAUCCUUCAUUUCGGACACCAAUUGCCACAGGUCACCGUUGGCAAGCCCGCAUCGUCAAACAAGUGAGGGAUAGAAAAGAGCCCAAGCCUGUUGUACUUGUACCUUAGUGAUCAUUGAUGCUUCUAACAGUUCACUAAUUCACUAAUGCAAUGAGCAUAGCUGCUUGCUGUAGAACUGUAGAUCAGUUCACUGACCGAGUGGAUAAGCAAA